GUUUAGAGUCCUCCGCCUGAGAAUUCUGUAUUUACUGAAGGAUCCCUUCUAGGUUUCUCAGCUGGUGAUUCUUCAAUCUUCUAUUUUGUUUUCAGAAAUAUGUGCAGCAUGGAAGUUCAUGAAGAUAUGUAUACGGCAGUUGAAUCAGUGGAGAUAUGUCUAGUGAGCCCUCCAAUGGACGGGACAGGGAAGAGAUUGUGGGAAAAGGUGAAGUAUUAGCUGGUGCUAUCUACAAAAGCGUGUUCUUAAUGUUUCAAGAGGUCCUGCUGUCCGGGCAUUGCGUGCACAAACUGACAAACGGGAAUAUGCAAUGGAAAUGAAAAAUGUGGU